rnacentral:rRNA from 1 species
AUGCUUUACGGCUUAGAACCGGGACUUCAAAGACGUUUUGAACGUCAUGGAGCAUAUGAGAUGUUCCAGGAGUUGAAGUUAAUAUUUCAAGCAAAUGCCCGGGUUGAGAGAUAUGAAGUCUCGAACAAGUUCUAUAGCUGCAGGAUGGAGGAGAACAGUUCUGUCAGUGCACACAUACUCAAAAUGUCUGGGUAUUAUAACCACUUGACUCAGCCAGGAGUUGAUCUUCCAGUUGAUUGUGAUAUUGCCAGAGUUCUUCAAUCACUACCACCAAGAUACAAAGGCUUCGUGAUGAACUAUAAUAUGCAAGGGAUGAGCAAGACAAUUCCCGAGCUCUUCGCAAUGCUCAAGGCUGCGGAGGUAGAAAUUAAGAAGGAGCAUCAAGUGUUGAUGGUUAACUACACCACUAGUUUCAAGAAAAGGGCAAGGGAAAGAAAGAGAACUUCAAGAAAAAUAGCAAGCAAGUUGCCACUCCUGGGAAGAAGCCCAAAGCUGGACCCAAGCCUGAAACUGAGUGCUUCUACUGCAAAGGGACUGGUCACUGGAAGCGGAACUGCCCCAAAUACUUGGCGGAUAAGAAGGAUGACGAAGUGA